UACCUACCUGCCUUCCCUGCUGUUGCAUUGGAACUCUUGAUGUAUGCUGAGAUAUGUGAUCUUGUAGAUUGCCAGUACGCCUUCCCAGUUCCUCUACAGUAGAUGACACUUCCUGCACAUCCAAAUCAAUAUAGACCAAGAACAAGCGAAAUGAAUCUGGAAAGGAAAGAAUCAAGAUUCUUAGGGGAUUCAAGCUUUGUUGGAGGCCUCUUCAGGUGACUACUGCAAACCUCAUUUAGAAGACCAGUAAUCAACUCAAAAAGGGUGAUCCAGUUCUUCCUGGCUACCACGAGUUCUCUAUUUCUUUUAUGUCCACAUAUUCAGAUGUAGACUAGUACUUUGGAUUUUCUUAUGUUUAAUUGUGUUGUACCAAUUUCCUUAGACAUAUGAUCCUUGUUGGAGUUUUUUUACAUUGACUUUUAUGGUCUAGGCAUUAUUUCCGCAUUUGAUUGUUAGACUUUAUUAGAGUUUAUGGUAACUCCCUAUUUUUUCUUUAGCAUGUAAA